AGCAGUCGCCACGGGAAUACAGAGGGUGCAAGCGUUAAUCGGAAUUACUGGGCGUAAAGCGCGCGUAGGUGGUUUGUUAAGUUGGAUGUGAAAUCCCCGGGCUCAACCUGGGAACUGCAUCCAAAACUGGCAAGCUAGAGUAUGGUAGAGGGUGGUGGAAUUUCCUGUGUAGCGGUGAAAUGCGUAGAUAUAGGAAGGAACACCAGUGGCGAAGGCGACCACCUGGACUGAUACUGACACUGAGGUGCGAAAGCGUGGGGAGCAAACAGGAUUAGAUACCCCCGUAGUCCCUGUCUCUGAUAC
rnacentral:rRNA from 1 species